UAUUAGCAAUAAUGCGGGAAAACAAGCAGCCUCUCCCAGCUGAUUCAUUGUAAAAAAGCAAAUUGGCGGCAGUCAAACUGAAUGUGUAAAUAAAAUCACAUAAUGAUGGAGCUUUUCAACGUGGACAAAUCUCAGAGCGACAGCCUUGUUGACGUGUAGAAUUCACAAAAUGGCAGCGGUGGGUGUUGCAAAACAAACUUAACAAACUGCGGUGCUGUUACAACGGGCACUUGGAGCAGCCGCACUCCAGAGCAGUUUCCAUCUCCUCGGAGUACGAGGUGCCGUCGGUGCAGCGGAAAACCGCCUUCCUCCUUCUGCUUUUUGUGACGCCACAGCAAACACCUGGAGGUGCUGCUGCCUGGCAGGAUCGGGGACAAUCCAUGCGGGGAAUCUUGGUCGUGGACGUGCAUGUUCUCAUUGGGUGGUGGCGCUUCAGCUGCUCCCUCACCAUCUCUCCUUGACAUGUAAGCCCGGUGUAGCCUGGCUGACAGUGGCAGACCGGCUCGCCUCCCUCUGACACACGACACUCCCCGUGUCCGCAGCGCUGCCCCCUGCAGGCUGGAGGCUCCUGCCGUCGAUCGCAAUACUGACCCUGGUAGCCUUCACUGCACUGGCAACUGUAGGACUGACCCUUCGGCACACACAGACCAUGAACACAUCUGGAGUGGAAAGAAGGAAAGAGGGAAGACAGGUUAGAGUUAUUUUGGGUUACUUACAUACAUAGUACAUGCAUAUGACUCUCUGAAUAUUUACAUCCAUACAUUUUUGCCCAGUCUCUUCUGUCUCAGCUUACCUGCUGUUCUGACAGGCGUUGGGUGCUGUUGUCUGGUCACACAAGGCCCCGGUGCGGCCUGGAGGACAAUCACAUGUUACCCCCGUUUCUCCUCCCUCCCUGCACGCACCCUGGGCACACACACUGCAGGAAUGGCACCCAGCAAGAAUGCCCUCACCCUGGUGACAGAACAAGAAAGGGAGAAAAUACUGUCAGGGGAGCUAAGUCAAAAGGCUUUUUAAACGCUAAUAGAAGAGAGCAGGGGGGGUGUAACCUGACAAACAUGUUGAUGUUGCAUGAAUGCUACAGCCUUCACCAGAAGGCCAGUGUAAAUAGAGCUCCAACAUGGAGGGAUGACAUCUGUUCUUUUCUCCAGCUGCUACCAGCAUGGGUUUGUUGACCUAAAAAUCUGUCAAAACGGUUUCUACUGUUGCUUAUAAAAUGCAGCAUUAUUGUCAUAAGAUUUUGCACUAUAAUUUUGUGCAUGUCUGCUUUCCUUUGCAAAACAUAACUUUGUUUGCUAAUAUGCUUACAAGACACACUUACAGUUGAAAGGGUUAUGACUAUCACAUGAAUAUCACCAAAAGAGGUAAUGCAUUUCUCAAUAUGGCUUUUAAGGAUGCUGCAUAAUAUACAUGAUGCCGCUUUUGCCAAAAAUGAAUCUUCCCUGUGUAAUUACCUUGCUGUCGACCCCAUGUGGUCGCACUCCUGCGACUCGGUAACUCAGGUCUUGAGGCUCACCGUUGAUUCGGACAUUGUGGAUGCAUCCAUUAAAAGCCUGAGGGAAACGUUCAGGGCUGGGUCGUAGACCUGAGGCCACCACCUGAGAUGGUACGCCUGGAAAAUGAAGGAGAACAAGACAGGAAGUUAUGGAAAAAGUAGAAUGUGAAUAAAAAGAAAUGAAAGUGGAGAAGAUGGAAGAAAUGGGAUAAAAGAAUGGAAAGAAAAUAUGGGAAACAGAGAAAAAAGAAAGCAAAUUGAAAGGUUUGCUUGAUUAAUACGCUAAAACUCAUCUCUGGUGUCAUUCUUGGUUGCCAGUAAAAUAAAAUCAGCGUCAUAG